rnacentral:rRNA from 1 species
UAGCAAAAGUGUUUUUUGUGGGACGUAGACGGCCACGGGCGGCGGCGGCUGGCGUGGGUCGCGGAGGUACGCGCCCGAGCGCGAGCACGGAGGGGUGGCGGGGCGCGGCGGCCGGUGGCCUCGCGGCGGCAGCCUGCUCGCGCGGCGGUACGGGAGAGAGGAAGAAGGGAGGGGAAGUAGGUCAAGAUAGAGAGUGGAGGGAGAGAGAGAGAAAACGUCCUUCGCCUUCGGUACCGGCGGCCUGGCGGCGGGGCGCGGCCGGCCGGUAGCCUCGCGGCGACGGCCUGGUUGCCCGAAGGGACGGUAGGGGAGGAAGAGGGGGAGGGAGGCCAAGAUAGAGAGUGGAGGGAGAGAGAGAGGAAACGUCCUUCGGAACCGGCGGCCUGGAGGUACGGAGGCGCUCGAGCGGCGGCCGGACACUGGAGAUGCGACGGAGGUCAGGAGAGGCCUGAGGAGGCAGCAUAAGAAGAGUAAGAGGCUGCGACGGUUCAAGCGGGCUCCUUCUUCGCCCCUCAAACGGCCUCCUUGUUCUUAUAGGCAGGUCGGCAGGUAACAGCGGACUCGAUGUGGUCUCCACGGUUUCCACAGGCUAGGUUGAUUCCACCUCCGGUUCCUCCAAAUCGAGAGCCUGUAACGUGGUUACUGCGACCUAUUAUGGCUAUACGUAUGACUUAAGCAGGUUCCUAGCAGCCUUCUAGUCUUAACGCCGAUUACAGGGAAUUCUCUAAAUGUACUUCUCCCUCUUACAGCCAUCGACCUUAAGACCUGGCGUUUCCUCGUUUAGACUCUAUGAAUAAGACGUGUUGAGGUUUACAGGACCUUGAAAUGCUUCUUAAUAAAACCUUAUUUAUUUUUUAUUACCCGCUUCUUUAAUGGUCUCCCCUGGGUGUUCGGACCCCCCGAAUACCCGGGGACCGUCCAGAAGCCACGGGUAGAAGACGAUAUACCUCAGAAAACUGGACCUUUUUUUUAGUAUUCUCUCGAAAGCCCUGCUUCGCGGCGCCAGAACUCCGCCUUGGACCCGUCCUCGUUAGAUCUCGAGGCCGUCUCGCUAAGACGGUCCUUUGAAGGGAGGCCCUCCCCCUUUAGCUUCGGUAGCAGUAGUGGUUACUAGGAGAGUAGCUAUCCCCCAGUUAGAGGUAGUUAUAGAAGUGGUCGUAGUAGAGGAGAGUUUGGGAUUAAGUAGAGAACAUAAGUUAGAAACAAAGUUUUGGAGUCUAACCAUGGACACCCAACGAUCAUCACAACUAAUGAGGAACAUCAACUACGAUCAACCAAAUAAACCACCUUCUAGUAUACAAGUCUUGGAAUUACUAUAAGUUAUGGGGACACUAGAAUUUGUACUUGUACCAAACACUCAUCAAUGAAAACAAGGGC